rnacentral:rRNA from 1 species
GGUGUUCGACUAAGCCAUGCAAGUCAUAUGUUCCUCGUGAACAUGGCAUACUGCUCAGUAACACGUGGAUAACCUGCCCUUGGGUCUGGGAUAACCCCGGGAAACUGGGGAUAAUACCGGAUAACGCAUAUGUGCUGGAAUGCUUUAUGCGUAAAAUGGAUUCGUCCGCCCAAGGAUGGGUCUGCGGCCUAUCAGGUAGUAGUGGGUGUAAUGUACCUACUAGCCAACAACGGGUACGGGUUGUGAGAGCAAGAGCCCGGAGAUGGAUUCUGAGACAUGAAUCCAGGCCCUACGGGGCGCAGCAGGCGCGAAAACUUUACAAUGCGGGAAACCGUGAUAAGGGAACACCGAGUGCCAACAUCAUAUGCUGGCUGUCCAGAUGUGUAAACUACAUCUGUUAGCAAGGGCCGGGCAAGACCGGUGCCAGCCGCCGCGGUAACACCGGCGGCCCGAGUGGUGACUCGUUAUUAUUGGUUCUAAAGGGUCCGUACCCGGUUUGGUCAGUCCUCCGGGAAAUCUGAUA